GACUUCCGUUCCGCGCGUUAUUCGCCUCAGUUUGAACAGAGCUUUAAAUGUGAGGGGCGCCGCGGGGUGACGAAAGGAACCGGGUAUUAAUAAAUUAUCAAAAUUAUUUUAUUAAUAGAUAUGACGCAAACCGUUCGUUCUUUUUUCAAUUGGACGUAGUUCCUGACAAACGUUCCAAGCCACAAACAUCACAUUUUAAGGAAUUCGUGUUAACAGUUUAAUAAAUAUUAGAAAUAAAGAAAGAUUUUUUCUUUUGAAACUUAUAGUAUGUACAAAUACAAAAGAUAUAAAAUAAAAAUUAACUUAUGAUUAAUAAACAAUCAAAAAAGAAAAAGACUGAAACAUUUCUACUAAAUCCGAUUCAAAUUACAUACAUGCGUCAUGAUGUCAUUUAAACAGUGACACUGACAGUAGGGCUGCCAUUUUUUGUCAGUCCGUUAAUAUGUAUCACGUGACCAGUUUUGUGUUCUUAACUCAAUUUCUACAUGAUUGUGGUUUGGAACGUUUUUCUGGAAUUACGUCCAAUUUCAUUCUGGCCUGAAUAUUAUACGUAAGAAUCUCAUAUUCGAUAUGAUAAUAAGUACAUUUCUUAGAACCAUUUUUGCCGGAACUAGUAAUAUUUAUAUAAAACUAGUGGACCCGACAGACGUUAUCCUGUACACACGUGUUAAAUUUGAAAAAUCGGUCCAGACGUUAGGAGGAGAUCACGUAGGAGAUUUAUAUGUCGACUGUAUUGAGAAUCUAAACCAAUCUCAAAUUCACUGGAACCCUCUAAAAAAAAUCAUUAAAAUCGGUCCAGCCAUUUAGGAGGAGUUCAUUGUCAACACACGGACAGAAGAAUUAUAUAAUAUAAUACUAGCUGACCCAGCAAGCGUUGUAUUGCCGAUAUUAAAAUCGCGAUACAAAUGUAACUGUUGAUCGUAGAUGGGUGAAAAUUUGAAGUUGCAUGUAUUUUAUAUUUUGUAAUUUAAAAAAAAUGUCAAAAAAAUAAAAAAAAAUAAUUUGGCGUGGACCACCCUUAACAUUUAGGGGGAUGAAAAAUAAAUGUUGUCCGAUUCUCAGACCUACCCAAUAUGCACUCAAAAUUUCAUGAGAAUCGGUCAAGCCGUUUCGAAGGAGUUACACUUACAUUUAGCACUCGCCCAAUAAAAACUCCAGCAAAAAAGGAAAUAUAAGAACUUUAGACUGGUAAAUGAUAUGAUGAGAAAAUUAAGUAUUUUAUGAAGACAAUAACAUGAGGUCAGAAUCACACACGAUCUAGUUACGUGGUCUCACUUAACCAACGAUCGAUCGACUUACAGAUAAGUAUGUUACGCAACGUUACAUUACACGCUAACUUACUUUACUGAUAUACAUUCGUGUUGUUAUUUCGAUACCAUCUGAGAUAUUAUGUUAUUUACUGCAUGUGAGUGAAAUAGAAGAUAUUCUAUUAAAUUAAAAUUUUGUGUAUUUCAAAUUUUGGAAAUAGAAUUUAGUGGCUGAGGCUUCCUAGUAUAUUGUCUUAUGAUAUUUCAUUGGGAAUGUCUCGCAACAUCCUUAGCGGAUACUUUAUAAACAAUAUAGAAAUAAUCAGAAAUGAUUAAAAACAUAUUUCAAAAAAUCACACAAUUAAAUGAACCAAAGUUAAAGGCAUAGUCCAAAUGAUUGCGAAACUGAAGUGACAGUAGGCAGGGCAUAUAGUUCGACGGACAGAUGGCCGAUGGGGCAGUAAAGUCCUCGAAUGGCGACCACGUACCGGAAGACGCAUUGUUGGUAGGCUGCCCACAAGAUGGACAGACGAUCUGGUCAAGAUCGCCGGAAUACGUUGGAUGAGGGCAGCGCAGGACCGAAGGUUGUGGAAAUCUUUGUGGGAGGCCUUUGUCCAGCAGUGGACGUCUUCCGGCUAAUGACAAUCAAAAGAAAUUUGAAAACCUAUUAAUAUUUAUACUGUUCAGUUGGGAAUACUGGCUCUUUUACAUUACAAACUCAAGCUUUUCAACACUUUUUACAGAAUUUAUUAUUUAUUAUAUGGGUUAUUUACCAUAAUUCUAUGAUUUUUUAACUAACCCCGCUAUAGACAGACAAAUUUUGAUUUAUGCCAAAAUUUAUGGGCGAAGAUAAGAUACUGUGCUUCCGAACUUAACGCUUCCGCGUCUUAUGUCUUAUGACAGCCCGACUGGUGUUGCCACUACACUUACUUAUAGCGAAUUGUUAAUAAACCGUGGUUUGCUAUGUUCAGCUCUUCAGUUGUAGCGAGACUAGAGAUCAUAAGAAGAUUUGUGAUGUAUUAUUUCAGUUUUAUAUAUGCCAGUUUUACAUAGGCCAUAACUGGACACUUGAACAAGCAUACCAAGGUCUAUGAACGAAACGCCAUCCAGUGGUUCGAUUAGCGGUUACACCUGAAACAUAAUAUUUAAGCACAAUUAAUAAAUUUGCAUAUACUCAUAGAAGAGAAGGGAAAUCAGUUUAAAAUAGCGAAGUGUUCCGCACUUAUUUCAGUAGUUGAUAGUAAAAUCUAGCCGACGACACCGACAAUUUUCUCUGUUUGCCCAACUCUUGCAAAGGCCUUCCCCAUUUCUUUCAACUCUGUUCUGUCAAGCGUUUUGCUAGUUCAUGUUCUUCUAGCUACUGCCUUUAUUUCGUCUUCCCAUUUUCGAAACUGUCUACCUCGUCUUCUGUUUCUAUUUCUUAGAUAACAAUUUUAUAUGAAUUAAAGUGUAUUUAUUAUUUUAUAAAAAUAAUAAUAAUUAAAAUAAGGCUUUAUAGCUGUUACUUAUUUUUUUUCAUAUCCUUAACUAAUUCCUUUCGAUUUUUUUAACAGCUUGUCCUUCGACAUACGCCUCCUCCAAAGACUUCCACCUUUCUCUCUGUCUCUCUCGCCAUUCUCAUUCAUUCUGGGCCAGCCACUCCUUUAAGGUCAUCCUCCCAUCGAUUUAUUUGUCGCCCUUUGCUUCUUUUGCAUUCUCGUGGAUACCACUCUGCUAUGAUUUUUGUCCAUUUUUCGCUUUUGUCAAGUAUCAUAUUAUGUCCCGCCCAUUUCCACUUUAAUGUAUGGCAUACAGUUUUGACAUGUUUGAAUUCAGUUGUACCCUUAAUUUUUGUUACUUUUAUUUUAUCUGUUCUUUCUUUUAAAACAACACGUGGAAAAAAAUAUUAUUUUAUAUCAGUAUUAAUAUUAAUUAUAAUAAUAAUUCUGUUUCAUUUAUUAUGAAGAAAUACAAUAAAACGUUAACUUGGACCAUUUCAACAGAAUCGUUUAAUCUAUCCUUGGAAUUGUAUAUUCUGUAACAUAUUGUUAUUGAUAUUAUAAUGUGCUAUAUUGUAAUCAUAUUUGAAUCUCGAGACCAAACCGAACCAUUUUAGAGAAUUUAAAUCAUCGUGUAUUAGAAUUUUUAGAAAUGUUUAUACAUCUAUAUUCUAUACCUACUUAUACCUGUUCGAUGUUUCACUUAACUUUUGUACAAUAUUAUCUCUCCUUAGAUGUAACCUAGGGUUGCGAUAGUGCUAGUCUUUCAAAUAGUUUUUGAAGUUUUAAAAGGAAUUUUUAGAUCUGGUAUUUAUUUAUAUUUAAGUCGUGUAUUGAAUCUAAUUGUAACUCUGGUCACUAUCGUGGCCAUUAUUUUAUAUAGAUAUAAAUAUUUUGAUGUUUCUGACAAAUUUGGACAUUAGUGUCACUAAUUUCAUACUAAGUAUUUACAAACCGAUUAUUUGUGACCAUGGGUAUAUAGUUACUUUUUUUACUCGCAUGUUUGUCUUCUAGAUUUCAUUUCCUAUAUAUUUCAAGGCAAAAUGAUGUUUACAUAUUGAUAUUUUAAGCAUCUGUCAUUGAAGGCAUGUAGACAUAAUUAAAUUUAGGUUAAGGAUUGGUCUCCGCUGCCCUCCAACUAGAUACCGCACUACCUAAGAACAAUAGCUUUUUUCUUACGGCUACUAUUAGAUGCAUAUGUGCGUGGCAUCUUUCAAAUUUUGUAAUAUAUGCAACCUGGCAUUUUAGUUUCAAUUAUUAGCAAAGUUUAGUAAAACAUGUGCCACGUCAACAUCACACUUUCUUCGAGACUGGCUUGAGUAAGCCCACUUGGUCGUAGUUGCCACACUUUGUGACUACGCCUGCGGUAUCUAGUUGGAGCGCAGCGGACACCAAUCCUUAACCUAAGUAAUUAAAUAUAUUUUUAUUGCUCAAUCGCAAUGCGGGCAAAUUAACAACAACGCUAAAAUCUUUGUGAGGCAUUAGUAAAGGUAAUUUUGUUUUUGCCUUGUUGUAAUUUUGCUCUAUCCGUAGACUUCCCAUAUGUAGUGUCAAAAUAUUGCCAUUAGCAGUUAUUUUAGAGGAAACUAGUAGGAAUAAAAGCAUUGAUUAUGAUAGUGUUAGUUUAUAAUGUUAUAUUAGUGGUAUGAUAAACUGAGUAAUUAUACCUUUGUAUUACAAUGGACGUUUCUGGACUGCCUCUCUGGGUUGGUCGCUCAUGCCUGAGGACCGUGAUCAGCAUAAUGGUUGCAUCUAGAGCAGAGAGAGCGGACCGUGGAGAAUUUGGAUCAGUCUUUGAUUUGGUCAGUCCAUCUUCUUGGAGAACCACCGCGCGAUCUUAGCCUUCGGUAUUUCUGAACAGUGCUUACUCGAAAAACCAAUUGCUUCGAGUUUAUUUAUUAUCUUGAAUUAUGUUCCAGUAUCUCUGCUAGCUGGUACAGAGGCGACUCUUCCUCUCUCUGUUUCUCUUGGCAACGACAACCAUCGUUCAGAUUUGCAUUGGGAGAUCACGUUUGCGUUUUCCUUUGGAGUUUCUGUUUAAGGAUUGCUUCAGUAUGUGCAUGAAAUCACUUAGGAGUGUAUGGUUUCACCAGCUCAGUGUCUGUCGCUGUGGUUGCCAUACAAGUCUAAAUUUAUAUUUAUAAAGUAUGUAGCACAUAAAAAAACAAACUAUAUCUUUAACUAUUUUAGUGAACCAAGAUCGUGGUAUUAUGGUGAUUGAAAUGAAUUUAGAUCUUGUCAGACUUUUCUCGGAUUUUAAAUUCUAAUGUGAUUUCUGAGCGGAUUGUCUUAGUUCGAUCGUAUUAUCUAGAUCUAUCGUACAGAUGGUAUUAAAAGCAAUACCUAUAUUAAUAACUAUAUAUCCACCCGAAACCUAAUAACCUUCUUUGCCAAGGAAAGUGUUAAACUAAUUAGCUCGCUAAUAUGUCCGACUUAAUGAAAUAACAAUAUUUGAGUUUUUUGUAUGGAUAGUGCAAUUUCUUAGGAUUGUCACUAUUUAUAGUCUUACAAAUAAACUUGGUAUAACCUUGUUAAAAAUGAUUACAAAUAGAAAUUUUGCUUAAUAUUGCUUUAAUCGCACGUAUAACGUUUCCCGCGUUUAUUUGCAGGGCUACUUGACAUUUGGAAAACUUCAGAAUAAUCAUUGUAUUGACAGUGUUGUCAGAAUAUAGUCAACAUUUUGCAUAUUCUUGGUUUAUUCUCGGGUAUAUUUUUAUACCAAGUUUAUUUAUUUCUAUAGCUUAUUUUGUAACUUCUUGUGUGCGUACAUACGUACCUACCGUCUUAAUAAGAAUAUCAGUUUCAAAAACAAUACCGGAUGACUAAAUACAAUAUUAGAUAGAUACAGGGGCGUGCAUUGCCUUUCCAGCAAGGUAGGCACUGUAGAUACAAGUACCUACCUUAAUAAUAUAAUAUUUAGGUAUCGCACACAUAACGCGGAGAGGUUAAAGUUGUGAUUUAUUCUCGACAUGUUAAUUUUGUGGUUUUAAAAGUAAGUAAACUAAAACUUACUGGGUGGAUGUUCAAUAGAAAUUUUGGUAUAGAAAAAUGGAACUAAAUUUGCUAUCUUAUUACUUUACCAGUGGGAGUCUCCUUUGCACAGGAUGCCGAAUAGUUUAUGAGUACCAAAACGGCCCCUAUUUGUACCGCGAAGCAGUAAUGUGUAAACAUUACUGCGUUCCGGUCUGAAAGGCGUCGAAACAAGUGAAAUUACUUGGCAAAUGAGACUUAACAUCUUAUGUCUCAAGGUGACGAGCGCAAUUGUAGUGGCACUCAGAAUUUUUGGGUUUUUCAAGAAUCUGCAGCACUGCAUUGUAAUGGACAAGGCGUAUAAAUCUCCAUGAGCUAAACGUCGUGCUCGACCCGUCCCUUAUAUUCAUAAAAAAAUAACACCAAUGGUAUAUAUUCGUUUAGGUUCUUAUUAAAGUAGUCAUUGCCUAAGUACCUAUAAAAAAGCACGCCCCUGGGUAAAUAAUAGGCAAUUGCUGGCAACACUUAACCUGUAGUUGUCACAACGGAGUUUCGGUUCAAAGGUGAGUGUAAUAAUGUCGACAUUCGAUACAUGAACACAGAGCAUCCAUUGUUUCUCCGUGAUACGCAACGGCCAUAUUGUUCUCAAUAUAGGACACACAGGAGCUAACAUUUGUUAAUUAUAAAUGAAUAUUCAUUCACUCUGAAAUCUUAAUUUAAAUACAAUUGAAUAUAAAUUAACCUAGCUUUUAGCAUUUGUUUGCGAUUAGACUUAUUAAUAAAAAAAUUAGAAAAUUUAUUGAAGUAGGCGUUACUUUGCGGAAAUCCAUAAUUAUACAAAUGAUUUGAGUUUUCUUUAGUGUUAAUUCCGCCAAUUACGUCUUAAACAAUUUGACUUUAGACUUUGAGUCUCGUGCCAGAUUUUGGCGUGACAACACGUCCUUAGGAUGCCUCGUGUAGAGGCGAAACACGUGUCGAAUUGUUUGAAGACAAAUAUUGGUGGAAUUAACACUAAAGAAAACUCAAAUCAUUUGUAUAAUUAUACUUAUCAUAUAGGCACUGCUGAUCUGACCAAUGUUUUACUUUGGUUUAUAUUCCUAUAGAACCUCAUGAACUCGACCGCACUUGUGUAGAGGUUUUAAACUUCUUUUUCACUUGUACAGCCAUAUGAUAUCUUCUCGAGUAGGUCAGAAUAUUUAAAUUGAUUAAAUUUUGUAUAAAAUUAGUCUUCUAAAGUAUUUAAUCCUUAGAGGAAUUAGAGUUGAUCCUUACUGACCCUUGAUUGCUAGUGGCUCUUACCCAACCUGGCAGAUUGCGGGUUGAUUUUGACUUGUGGGACUGAAAUUGUCCAUGUGUACAAGUUACUCAAAGUCAAAGUCAAAAAAUUAUUUAUUCACUGUAAAACUUUAUAAGUUAUUUAGUGCAAGUCAGGAUGAAGAACAAAAGUUACACUAACAUUCAAAUGAGUAUAACAAUAUUCAUUAACAAAAAUUAGAACAUUAAUU